GCUGAAAUACAAAUUGUUUUAUAAAUAGUUUCGCCGUUUUCUAGUCAUUCCUGUUUUCUUUAAAAAAUCCUUUAAAGACAUAACGUCUAUUCCUCUCUCAGAAUAAUCUCCUUUAAUGAAUAAUUGCGCUGUUUUUAUUGCUCAUUUGUAUUAGCCCCAAAGACCUUGAGAUGUCACCUGAUACUUCACAAUUUGAAAUAACCAGAAAAGUUUAAAAUGUUGGUUUGAACUUUGAAGCAUCCCAUACACAGUCUAUCAAGAUAUGAUGAUGUGGAAACUGAACACAAGUCAUUGUAUUAUGUUUUUAUCUGAGUUUAUGUUAAUCUGUGCAGGGUCACGGUGAUUGAGUUCAUUGUAUUUUCGUAGAAUGAAGUAAUCGUCCAAUAGGGAUAGCUGAGAUGAAACGUG